rnacentral:rRNA from 1 species
ACCCGAAAGGGUGGCUAAUACCGCAUAAAUUCUGAGGAAGAAAGCUGGGGACCUAGGAAUAGGCCUAGCGCUUUUUGAGCGGCCGAUGUCGGAUUAGCUAGUUGGUGAGGUAAAGGCUCACCAAGGCGAAGAUCUGUAGCGGGUCUGAGAGGAUGAUCCGCCACACUGGGACUGAGACACGGCCCAG